AUGCUGCGCUCCUUCCCUUCCCCCACACGCCCUCCCUGCGUGUGCUGCCCACACACCGCCCCGCAUUCCUCGCCUGGCUUCAGCCCCUCCGGCGAUGGCUGAGUGAGGGAGGGGAGGCGGCGGCGGCUGGGGUUUCAUUCGACGCCCACCAGGGGCUGAGCGAGCCUCCUUCAGUGCGCAAACUCGGGGCACCACAUAAAAGCUGGGCUGGCAGCUCUUUACUCUGCCUCGAUGGAGCCGCCACAAGCGGGUCACCGGAGAAGCCGCUAGCAGCGGUGCCGUAGCCUAGGCUUCCCCGUACCGUGGGCACAGAGGGGCUGUAAAGAACCGCUGCUGCGGCGGGAAGGAGUCGGGAUGAAGGGAUCUGGAUGCAGAGGAGGCGGCUGUAACGAGGCAUCGAGUAUGGGGGGAGGGAGUGAUUAAACGUCUUGUGGCCAUGGCGGAGUCUGAGGGGAGUUCAGUGAAUUUCUUGUGCCUGUUUCCAUGAUGCUGCACUUAACUGAGGGAGACCCUUCCAAAAUAGAGACACGGUGAACUGUGACACUGCAAAACACCCCUCCACAUACUUCUGAAGUAUGCAUCCGAAGAAGUGGGUUGUAGCCCACGAAAGCUUAUGCUCUAAUAAAUUUGUUAGUCUCUAAGGU